UACAGAGGGCUCAAGCGUUGUUCGGAUUCAUUGGGCGUAAAGGGUGCGUAGGUGGCGAGGCAAGUCAGAUGUGAAAUCCCGGGGCUCAACCCCGGAACUGCAUUUGAAACUGCCUUGCUCGAGUACUGGAGAGGAGACUGGAAUUUACGGUGUAGCAGUGAAAUGCGUAGAUAUCGUAAGGAAGACCAGUGGCGAAGGCGAGUCUCUGGACAGUUACUGACGCUGAGGCACGAAGGCCAGGGGAGCAAACGGG
rnacentral:rRNA from 1 species